CAGAGGCUGUUUGCGAGCCGAGCGUCUCCGAAAGCCUGCCUCGCAGCGCGCAGCUGGCUCGAGCGGAGGAGAGGAGGCCGCAAGGCGCGUCCAGAUUCCUGUGGCCAAAUUUAAGUAUAUGUGAUUGACUUCAAUAUUCAAAACUGUAUCCAGAACCUGACCACAUCUCACCACCUUCACUGCCAACCCCCCAGUCCAGGCCACCACUGUCUCUGCAGCAGCCGAACGGGUCUCCCCACUUCUGUUCCAGCUUCCCUGUUGUCCACAAUAAAUGCAGCAACCACAGUGACCCUGUAGGCAGUCUGCUCAUUUCACACUUCUGCUGCAAACACUCCAAAGGCUCCCUGUUCCCAUCCGGAGAUAAAAACCAAAGCCCUAGGCCUAGAGGCAUCACACAUCUGUCCACCCCCCCCCCCCCCCGGGUCCUUGCCCCAAACUUUUCUAACCUCACCAGGCACUCUCCCUUUGCUCACUGCUCAGCUCACGGGCCUGGUGGAGAGUCACUGGACACCCCACCCCGAGCAAGCCCCGGCCAGGGCUCCUGCCCCCACCAUUCCUCCCCCAGCAUGUCUUGCCUAGGGGAUUCGCAGUGUGGUUCACCCCCUGUACCGCCUUCAAGCCUCUGCUCAAACGUCACUUUCCCAGCAAGGAGGCCUCAUCACCACCGAAAACACUGUCCCCCGCCCCUCAACACUCUUUAGUCCCCUUCUCCGGGUCCGUUUCCCCACAGCGCUAGCCCCACCUCACAGACUGUGCGUGCUGUUUAUUGUCCAUCUCCCCCAUUCUUAGGAGGAGACUUUGUGGGCUCGUCCAAUCCUAGUACCCCUGUGCCUGGAAUCAGGCCUGGCACACUGUUCCAGAAAUCCCUGAUGACUGAAUGAAUUUCACAGGGUGGAAACUAAGGCCCACACAAAGCAUGACUGUUCCAGACUCCACUAGGAAUUCAUGAAGCUUCAAGAACCGUUUAUUCAGCAUUAGUCUGUACGCUGCACAUACAACCGACAGACUGUCAUGUCCUCUGGAAACAAAAGUAAGUGGUCCUCACACAGGCAAGGGAGCUAUGAAUUUAAAGAAGAGAGAACAAAAUCCCGCUUAACUAGGUAACAGCCGGGGACGGGUGCCGUUUGAAGUGCGGCCUCCCUUUCAUAGCCUCUCCCGGAAAAUUCACGCUAGACAUCUUUCCACGCUCCAUCUAGGUGGAGGACGCUGGUGGCAGCUUGGGUGAGUUGGCGUCUCCGCAUCAGCAGCCCUUACCACUCCAGAGGUGAAAACCAGGCCACUGCCGCUCUCCUUCCACAGCCUCCCAAACCAGAGCUGGGGCCCGCGCUGACCUCAGUGUGUUUGCUGCUCCUCCAGAUCCAAAGACGAGGACCUGCUUGUCAUGUCAAGUUCCGUUUCGGAAAUAUACUAACGAUGUUCGUCCUGCCAUUCAAUGCCAUCUGGGUUGACAAUCUCAGAAAGUCUUUCUGUUAGCGAAUGUUUGAAAUCAUGGACAUUCUUUCCAAGAACACAGAGUCCUUCAGAAUCUAUCUGGACAGGGCCACUGAUGACCACUUCCACGGCCACCACACUGUACGAGCCCCCGAUUACUGCAACAGCCUGCUAAUGGGUCUCUCCACCUGUGGCUCACCACACCCCACACGACGCUGGGAUGAUCCUAUUAAAAUUCUAAGUCCUAUCAUCUCGCUGCUCUCGUUAAAGUCUUCUCGCUCAGAACAAAAGUCCAGUCUUCACCAUGGCCUCCAACGUUCUGAAGCCUGAGUGCACACCAGAAUCACCGAGGAGAUUUUUACACAGAGCAGUUCCGAGGCUCUACCCCAGGUUAAUUCAGUCAGAAUCUCUGGGGUUGGGACCAGGCUUUUUCUUUUUUAAAGCUUCUCAGGUGAUUGAGGCCCGAGCCUCAGCAGCUCGGCUGAGAGGCCUGUUACACAGAUUCCAUCCAGUUGCCUCUUCUCUGCACCUACCCGAAGCCUUCUGAUGCCCACCACCCUGUCUCAGGCUCAGUCACAACUGCCUCCUGGCAUUUCUCUGGCAAGGUGGAAACUCUUGUGUCUCAGGGCUUUGCACCUGCUGUUCCCUCUGCGUGGGAUGCUCUUCCCCUGGGCAGGCACAAUGGCUGUCUUCGCUCCCCACAGCAUUCAGAUCUCUAUUCAAGGUGUUCCCCCCCAUCUGUGAGGCCUUCUCAGACAAGUCCCCACGGAAAAGGGCAGCUCCCCUUCCCACAUCCUGCCCCCUUACCC